CUGAAAUUCCAUCUGUAUGUCUUGAAAUUUAGUAAGAGAUUUAUGAAGACAUUGUGUUGUAAUGUCAUAUACAUAUGAGUGGUGGUAGAGGUAAUAAUCAGUUCUCAUUAUCCCUGGUAGUCAUGGUCUGUGAAGUCACCGGAAACCAUGAUGUAGUGAAUACUGAACCAUAGCUGCAGAGGAAAUACAGGGUUCGCGUCCUGUGAGUCUCCAGUCUCAACAUUUUUGUCAACUGAUCGAUACCUGAGCUUGUCUAAUGUGUGUUCGUGUUGAAAGACACCUCAUUUAAUAUAUAGUAGCGACUUGCUAACAUUGAACUCACCGACAGCGCUGUCUAUACCUCGUGCCUGAAAGCUGAUCAACAUACGUAUUUCCUUCUCAAGGCACACCACAGCCUUCUGGCGCUUAGGAACACUCGGCAGCUUUAGCACAGCACUCCAAGACCACUUUACACAGCCAGAUCACCCACAACAAGCACAACAAUUUGGAAGACCUGUGACAGCACUGAAUAGACCCACAAAAGUGCACACUUGUUGACAGCGUGAGAGCUGAAACAAGGCAGGGUCGCCUUGUGUGACCGCAGCGGGGAGCACGCAG
rnacentral:lncRNA from 10 species